GAUGAACGCUAGCUACAGGCUUAACACAUGCAAGUCGAGGGGCAGCAUUUCAGUUUGCUUGCAAACUGGAGAUGGCGACCGGCGCACGGGUGAGUAACACGUAUCCAACCUGCCGAUAACUCGGGGAUAGCCUUUCGAAAGAAAGAUUAAUACCCGAUGGCAUAAUUAGACCGCAUGGUCUUAUUAUUAAAGAAUUUCGGUUAUCGAUGGGGAUGCGUUCCAUUAGGCAGUUGGUGAGGUAACGGCUCACCAAACCUUCGAUGGAUAGGGGUUCUGAGAGGAAGGUCCCCCACAUUGGAACUGAGACACGGUCCAAACUCCUACGGGAGGCAGCAGUGAGGAAUAUUGGUCAAUGGGCGCAGGCCUGAACCAGCCAAGUAGCGUGAAGGAUGACUGCCCUAUGGGUUGUAAACUUCUUUUAUAUGGGAAUAAAGUUUUCCACGUGUGGAAUUUUGUAUGUACCAUAUGAAUAAGGAUCGGCUAACUCCGUGCCAGCAGCCGCGGUAAUACGGAGGAUCCGAGCGUUAUCCGGAUUUAUUGGGUUUAAAGGGAGCGUAGGUGGACAGUUAAGUCAGUUGUGAAAGUUUGCGGCUCAACCGUAAAAUUGCAGUUGAUACUGGCUGUCUUGAGUACAGUAGAGGUGGGCGGAAUUCGUGGUGUAGCGGUGAAAUGCUUAGAUAUCACGAAGAACUCCGAUUGCGAAGGCAGCUCACUGGACUGCAACUGACACUGAUGCUCGAAAGUGUGGGUAUCAAACAGGAUUAGAUACCCUGGUAGUCCACACAGUAAACGAUGAAUACUCGCUGUUUGCGAUAUACAGUAAGCGGCCAAGCGAAAGCAUUAAGUAUUCCACCUGGGGAGUACGCCGGCAACGGUGAAACUCAAAGGAAUUGACGGGGGCCCGCACAAGCGGAGGAACAUGUGGUUUAAUUCGAUGAUACGCGAGGAACCUUACCCGGGCUUAAAUUGCGUUUGAAUAUAUUGGAAACAGUAUAGCCGUAAGGCAAAUGUGAAGGUGCUGCAUGGUUGUCGUCAGCUCGUGCCGUGAGGUGUCGGCUUAAGUGCCAUAACGAGCGCAACCCUUAUCUUUAGUUACUAACAGGUCAUGCUGAGGACUCUAGAGAGACUGCCGUCGUAAGAUGUGAGGAAGGUGGGGAUGACGUCAAAUCAGCACGGCCCUUACGUCCGGGGCUACACACGUGUUACAAUGGGGGGUACAGAAGGCAGCUACCUGGUGACAGGAUGCUAAUCUCAAAAGCCUCUCUCAGUUCGGAUCGAAGUCUGCAACCCGACUUCGUGAAGCUGGAUUCGCUAGUAAUCGCGCAUCAGCCAUGGCGCGGUGAAUACGUUCCCGGGCCU
rnacentral:rRNA from 1 species